AUAUUAAAGUUGUUGCAGUUAAAAAGCUCGUAGUUGAAUUUCGGGAUUGGCGCAUCGGUCGUGCCUCACGGGGUAUGAACUGGUGCAGUCAAUUUCUCACCUUCUGGAGAACCGCGAUGUCCUUAAUUGGAUGCCGCGGGGAACCAGGACCUUUACUUUGAAAAAAUUAGAGUGUUUAAAGCAGGCAUUUUUGCUUGAAUACAUUAGCAUGGAAUAAUAAAAUAGGACGGCAUGGUUCUAUUUUGUUGGUUUCUAGGACCACCGUAAUGAUUAAUAGGGAUAGUUGGGGGCAUUAGUAUUCAAUUGUCAGAGGUGAAAUUCUUGGAUUUAUUGAAGACUAACUACUGCGAAAGCAUUUGCCAAGGAUGUUUUCAUUAAUCAAGAACGAAAGUUAGGGGAUCGAAGACGAUCAGAUACCGUCGUAGUCUUAACCAUAAACUAUGCCGACUAGGAAUCAGACGAUGUUAAUUUUUUAAUGACUCGUUUGGCAC
rnacentral:rRNA from 1 species